UACGAAGGGGGCUAGCGUUGUUCGGAUUCACUGGGCGUAAAGGGUGCGUAGGUGGCAGGGUAAGUCGGAUGUGAAAUCUCCGAGCUCAACUCGGAAACUGCAUUGGAAACUACCCAGCUCGAGGGUUGGAAGGGGGACUGGAAUGCUUGGUGUAGCAGUGAAAUGCGUAGAUAUCAAGCGGAACACCAGUGGCGAAGGCGAGUCCCUGGACAACUCCUGACGCUGAGGCACGAAAGCCAGGGGAGCAAACGGG
rnacentral:rRNA from 1 species